rnacentral:rRNA from 1 species
CGGCGUGCCUAAUACAUGCAAGUCGAACGGCUUUUCUAUGGAAGCUUGCUUCCACUGAGAAGAUAGUGGCGAACGGGUGAGUAACACGUGGGUAACCUGCCCAUAAGAGGGGGAUAACAUCCGGAAACGGGUGCUAAUACCGCAUAGUUUUCUUGAUCGCAUGAUUGAGAAAGGAAAGACGGCCUUUGUGCUGUCGCUUAUGGAUGGACCCGCGGCGUAUUAGUUAGUUGGUGAGGUAAUGGCUCACCAAGACGAUGAUACGUAGCCGACCUGAGAGGGUGAUCGGCCACAUUGGGACUGAGACACGGCCCAAACUCCUACGGGAGGCAGCAGUAGGGAAUCUUCCGCAAUGGACGAAAGUCUGACGGAGCAACGCCGCGUGAGUGAAGAAGGUUUUCGGGAAUCGUAAAACUCUGUUGUCAGAGAAGAACAAGUUGGAGAGUAACUGCUCCAGCCUUGACGGUAUCUGACCAGAAAGCCACGGCUAACUACGUGCCAGCAGCAGC